UACGGAGGGGAGCUAGCGUUGUUCGGAAUUACUGGGCGUAAAGCGCACGUAGGCGGCUAUUCAAGUCGGGGGUGAAAGCCCGGGGCUCAACCCCGGAACUGCCCUCGAAACUAGAUAGCUAGAAUCUUGGAGAGGCGAGUGGAAUUCCGAGUGUAGAGGUGAAAUUCGUAGAUAUUCGGAAGAACACCAGUGGCGAAGGCGACUCGCUGGACAAGUAUUGACGCUGAGGUGCGAAAGCGUGGGGAGCAAACAGG
rnacentral:rRNA from 1 species